rnacentral:misc_RNA from 1 species
AAAAAGGGUCUGACGACUGCCCAAACCACACCGUGAACCUUUUUCUUACUGAUGCUCUGGCAGGCCGCCCGCUGGGGGGGCUCUGGCCGCGAUUUCGCGGUGGUCUGCCGGUGGCUCGCAAACAAAACUCUCUAGAACGUCUCUCUGAGAAAAUCAAACUCCCCUUAGCGGGAGAAAAAAAGUCA